UACAGAGGGUGCAAGCGUUAAUCGGAAUUACUGGGCGUAAAGCGUGCGUAGACGGUUACAUAAGUCGGGUGUGAAAGCCCCGGGCUCAACCUGGGAAUUGCAUUCGAGACUGCGUAGCUAGGGUGCGGAAGAGGGAAGCGGAAUUUCCGGUGUAGCGGUGAAAUUCGUAGAUAUUCGCAAGAACACCAGUGGCGAAGGCGGCUCACUGGCCCGAUACUGACGCUCAUGCACGACAGCGUGGGGAUCAAACAGG
rnacentral:rRNA from 1 species